AUGUUGUUGGUGAAGCAUAUGGCGUGCGGUGUCCGUACCAUCCCCCGUACGGAGGCAGUGUGGCACGUGGCUCGUGUGUGUAAGCUGGCACAACCGCACAAGAGAUGGCCUCGGCGAGCCGCGUCCAGGAGCCUUGGCCGCUUGCGUGAGCUCUCCCGCGGCUCUCCGCGAGUCCUUCCCAUCAGGCUGUGUGCGCCGGUGCCGGUGCUCCGUGAAAGAGAGUUCUGGCCUCGGCCUGCUCCUCUCGAUGCGUCUUCUCCUUGUGCCUCGGGUGCCUCGUCCUCACCGCCGACAUCGGCGUGCUCAAGCAAGCACGAGCUGUUGGCGGCGCCUCCUUGCAGCGCCACUUCUUCUUCUACCUCUCGUUGUCUCUCACAACUCUGCCUUCCUCUCUGA
rnacentral:rRNA from 1 species